rnacentral:rRNA from 1 species
GACGAAGGGGGCUAGCGUUGUUCGGAAUUACUGGGCGUAAAGCGCGUGUAGGCGGUUGCCCAAGUCGGGUGUGAAAGCCUUGAGCUCAACUCAAGAAAUGCACUCGGUACUGGGUGACUAGAGGACCGGAGACGGAUAGUGGAAUUCCCAAGUGUAGUGGUGAAAUACGUAGAGAUUGGGAAGAACACCAGUGGCGAAGGCGGCUAUCUGGACGGUUUCUGACGCUAAGACGCGAAAGCGUGGGGAGCAAACAGG